UCUAAUAUGUUGGAAUGAGCCAAAGGACUGUUUUACUUUUCUAGGUCCACUCACGGAUAACCUUGGACAACAGUAGAUAUGGAUGGAGAAUGGUUUGGAGAGACAGUCAGAGACUUGGACAUCAAGAAAAUAAUUUAAGAUUAUUGACAAGGAAGUUUUGCUGAGGCAUGUAGCUGGGAAACUGGCAAGAUAAAUUGGGGAAGGUGGAAGAGCAAGAAAAAAUGGGAAGAAAACACAAACACAAAUACAUGUAUUCAUAAAAUAUCUAUUAUGCUCCACUA